UUUGGAUUUUUUGCGCACAGUGAGAAGAGUGCAGCGGAGGAGGGAGAGAACAGGUUAUAGGAGAGUUUGUUUCCGCCGUGCCCAGAAUAGCCCAAUAGAAAUCGGAGAAGCUGAUCCAGGAAUUGUAUUAGCCUAAUCUACAUCAGUGUAACUUUGGGUUAGAGUAACAGAGCGAAGAGGAAUACCAGGAGAGCUUAGUUUGUAGAAGAUGUGCAAUCCUAUCUCACACAGCCUAGCUCCGACUGUAAAUCUGUCUUCGCUUUUCUCCAAGAAAGGGGCUAGAUUAGCAAAAGCUGUACAGAAGUUGGGAAGAUAAUCCGGAUGUCGGUUUUAUACUUUUAUUGCAUUGAAGGGCAGUGGCAAGGCAUUUUGUGCGGGUGGAGAUAUCGUGUCUCUCUAUCAUUUCAGCAAGAAAAACUAAAAGAAGGAAAUAAAUUCAUACCAUUAUGAGGGAAUGGAGGAAAUGAGGACCAAAAAUUAAGGAGCCCAAACCGAUAGGUCUUGAUAUUGAGGCUAUCAGGACAACACGGCCACCUGCACUUGCAGUUUUCACAAGCCUCAAAUUGAAACAAUAUCAAAAGAACACAACACCAGCAACUACCUUCAAGAAGACCUGUCUGUACUACAUUUGGUCAUCAUAGCCAUUACCAAAAGCUGCAGUUUGUCUCCUUCCUCAUCAAACUUCAUAAGGAAGAACAAGUAAAAUAGACAUUUCAUCCUGGUUUGUAUAAGAUAUUGUAUUUGGCACUGGCAGACAACAGAAAACAACUUCUUCAAAUUGAAGCAAUGUUAGAAAAAAAAACGAAGCAAUGAGAAGCAAUUCAAACCACUAAUCUCAAGUCAGUAACUAAAAUAAAUUGGCUUUUCUUCAUGAGGAAAGUGUAUCUUUGGAACUGCAAUUUCUUUUCCUUUUAUGAUUUGGUUUAUAAAUUGCGAGCACAUUCUUUGAUUUUGCAAAUCACUGUUUCCAAUAAUUAGCAAGUAAAAACGUACGACGAUUCAAAGCCACUUGAUUUGGAUGCCUGGAUAUAUAAGAUCAUUUCUUUACCCAAAAUCAAAUUCUGAUCAAAGGGAAAUAAAUAAAAUAACCAAGCAAAAAUUCUGAAAAUAUGUUUCUUGCAUUUUUCUUUUUUUAUUGACUUGAGUUCUUUCAUUCCCUAUUCUGCUCCCCUGUUUGAAUUUGAUCUGAACAAGUUUCAGAUCAUUCCUAUAGUGCUCUCAUUUGACCUUCUCAAUUAUUGUUCAAUUUGCUUUUCGUUGUAGAAACAAUGUGACUUGCGUGAAUCAGACAGAGUUGACAAGAAGCUGUUCCAACCUGCACUGUAUCUGAAAUUGAUUAAUCUUGGUUUUCCUGGGCGUGACUAUCAAUUUACUAUCAAGACAACAUUUUUUUUAAUACGCUGGUGACAUUACCAACCGAACUCGGGAAAACACACAUCACUGCAGUUGUUAUGUACUACUUCAGAUGAUUUCCUAAUGAAAGCAUUAGUGUGGACACUCAGAAGGUGGAAGCAAUUUCUUCGGAUUCUGGUGGCCCUAGCCAGGGUCUAGCGAAGAGAGCUAUUUCUACUUCUGGAUCGUCUAUUGAUAGUGGGGGUAGCAGUGGAUCUGGAUCUCGUUCUCGAAACAGAUGUCAUGGGGCCCAGAGGACCAACAGGAGGCAGUUUGGUCGACGACAGCUACUGUCACUUUUUAUUCUCUGUCAGGGAAUUUUUGGCAGAUCAGGUCACAUAUAUGUGAUCGACACAAAAACAGAUCCAGAAGCUCCCUCUCUGCAUAAAGUUGUUCACCCUGAAGACAUCGUACAGAAGACUGGAUUGGCAUACCUACACACAUCUCACUGCCUUGCAUCUGGUGAUUUCUUCUCAUUGACUCAGAGUUUAAUGUCAAGGGAAGGUAAUGCCCUCUGUUCCAGUUGUGUACUACUAUCUUCAUUAAUGAAAACUACCACAACAACUCCAUACCACUUUGGCAAGUUACCGACAUUUCCAUCCAAUCCAAAAUUUGCACCAAUGCAAGCUGCCACAACUAUUUGGCAUAUCAACAUUUGACUUCCUCCCUCAAAGAAGAGCUUCCUCCUUCCUCACUUAUAAACACCAUACAUUGAAACUAUUGUUGCAGCAGCAUUAACAAGUCCGGUGAUCACAACUGAUAUGAGAGAAGCAUCACUUCCCAAAGUUAAUAGUUCAUUUUUUUUCUCUCUGAAACUUUUAUCAGGCAAUAACUAAUUUCCCAAAGUUUGACAUAAAACAAGAGUAGCAUAUUGAAAUGAAUAGCUAUAAUACUGAUAGUCUUGGCCUCUGUUGAGAUUGUUUUAUUAUGAAUAACUUUUGGUUUUAUUUUGAACUUUGCUUGAACUUCCUUCCAAA